AGGUUAAGUUAGUAAGGGCGCACGGUGGAUGCCUUGGCACUAGGAGCCGAUGAAGGACGUGACAAACGACGAAAUGCCUCGGGGAGCUGUAAGUAAGCACUUGAUCCGGGGGUGUCCGAAUGGGGGAACCCAACAGGUUGAUGCCUGUUACCCAUUUCUGUUAAGGGAAUGAGGGGGAAGACGCAGUGAACUGAAACAUCUAAGUAGCUGCAGGAAGAGAAAGCAAAAGCGAUUGCCUUAGUAGCGGCGAGCGAAGAGGCAGGAGGGCAAACCGAAGAGUUUACUCUUCGGGGUUGUAGGACUGCAAUGUGGGACUCAGAAUUUAUAGAAGAAUGACUUGGGAAAGUCAGCCAAAGAGAGUAAGAGCCUCGUAUUUUAAAUAGAUUCUGUACCUAGCAGUAUCCUGAGUACGGCGGGACACGUGAAAUCCCGUCGGAAUCUGGGAGGACCAUCUCCCAACCCUAAAUACUCCCUAGUGGACCGAUAGUGAACCAGUACCGUGAGGGAAAGGUGAAAAGCACCCCGGGAGGGGAGUGAA
rnacentral:rRNA from 1 species